CCUAACUUGUUAAACUUAACCCAUACUAUUAGUAUAUCUACAUAAGGAAAGCUUGAUCAAGGUGUAAAAAGAUCUAGCUAGAAUCAGUAAAAAUAUCCCAAAGCUUUAAAGCUCAUCCAAUAUAUAGAUAUCUGUUAGUAUAGUAAUAGUGCAAUAAAAAUACAGAAAACAGUAAUACAGUGUUUCACGUACGAGAAAAACAUUUUAGCGGCCAAAGGAGCUGCAUUCCAGCCUGUUUAUCAUAAAGAAGGACCAUACAUUUUGGCUUUUAAAAAGUUGUGUGCAUAGAUAUAUCCCCAUCUCAUUAGGACUAAUAAUUCUGACACCCCUGUCUCAUUAGGACUAAUAAUUCUGUAACAACGUACUAAAUAAUUAGCCAUAAAUACUAUGUCUGUGCACCAUGUGUGAACAAUACAAUGUUACUUUCAAUGUAAUAGGUAUUUCAAAUAUUAAUCUCAAAUGCUAUUUUACACAUAUAAAUACAAAUGUGUUUAUCUACUGUAAAUGAUAAACAUUUAAAUAAACUUUCAAAUCCAUUUCUGAAACUCAUAAAAGAUAUGAUUUAG